rnacentral:tRNA from 1 species
GAUAAAAUGGCUGAAAUAUUAAGCGUAAGAUUGUAAAUCUUAUAAUGAAUAAUAUUUAUUCUUUUAUCA